rnacentral:rRNA from 1 species
UACGUAGGGUGCAAGCGUUAAUCGGAAUUACUGGGCGUAAAGCGUGCGCGGGCGGUUAUGCAAGACAGAUGUGAAAUCCCCGGGCUCAACCUGGGAACUGCAUUUGUGACUGCAUGGCUAGAGUACGGUAGAGGGGAAUGGAAUUCCGCGUGUAGCAGUGAAAUGCGUAGAUAUGCGGAGGAACACCGAUGGCGAAGGCAAUCCCCUGGACCUGUACUGACGCUCAUGCACGAAAGCGUGGGGAGCAAACAGG